rnacentral:rRNA from 1 species
CUACGGGAGGCAGCAGUCGAGAAUCUUCCCCAAUGGGCGAAAGCCUGAGGGAGCGACGCCGCGUGCAGGACGAAGCUCUUCGGAGUGUAAACUGCUUUUAUUGUCGAAUAAGGUAACUUCCGCAAGGAAGUUGCUUGAAGUUAGGCAAUGAAUAAGGACCUGCUAAACUCGUGCCAGCAGCCGCGGUAAUACGAGUGGUCCAAGCGUUAUCCGGAUUCAUUGGGCGUAAAGCGUCUGUAGGCGUCCCGAUAAGUUUUCUGUUAAAUUCUAAGGCUCAACUUUAGAAGUGCAGAAAAAACUAUCGGGAUUGAGGCUGGGAGAGGGGAACGGAAUUGCCGGUGUAGGGGUAAAAUCCGUUUAUAUCGGCAAGAACGCCAAAGGCGAAGGCAGUUCCCUGGAACAGUCCUGACGCUCAGAGACGAAAGCGUGGAGAGCGAAUGGGAUUAGAUACCCCCGUAGUC